UACAGCCCUGUAACGCGCAACUCUUCCCACUAUUACCGUUAUGUAACGGCCUUUAUGACCAUUCCAGUACAGUUUUUGAAUACCUUGAUCCCAAUUGUAUGCAUAUGCUCCAUCAGGUCUCUAUAUGCUAGCAUGUGCAUCUCCAUCUUCUAUUGAAAGGCUUCAACCUGUGCUGGUUGGAAAUAUAGCCAUGAAAUUGUCCCUUGCACAUGAGAAAAAAGUAGGUACUUGAAAGUAACAAUAUUAGCAUCCUUUGAACAUUCUCUUUGAUGAAUACUUCUGGCACCACAUUUUUUGGUGUACCUAGAACAAAUACUUGUCCAGUGCAUAUGAUAUGGCUUGCAAGUUGCAAUGUAAGUGUCCAUAUUAGUAGCCCAACAAGUGCUCCUCACAACUUGAAGCUUAUUCAGUGCCUGGCAUUACUCAUGUGGGUUAGACUUAUGAACUGUUUUUCAUGUCAUGUUUUCUGUGUUUGGUAUAUGUGGACCCAAAAGUGGUUUCUUAAUGCGCCCCUUCAUGGUCACAAUUAAUAUCUUUUCAGUCCAAAGAAGAUGAUGGCCAUGUAAUUGAUGGUAUCUUCUCUUCAACUCCAGAAUGUAAGGCUUGCAAAGGUAGCACUUAGGCCUGGUGCGGCUAACAUGGUGAACGGAAUUCUGUGGAAGCUACUUUUACUAAAGGUUUGUCAUUUUCUGUAACAUUCACUAUACUCAAAUUUAGGGUUCACUAGAAACCAGGUUCAUUUGAAUGCCUUAGCCCUUUCAUAUAUAUUGAUUUAGGGAAAAGACUCACUUCCACUACCCAAACUGGAGGGUGAUGAACGUGCAAAAGCACGCUCUCUGGCAACUAUUUAUUCACAUCCGGUGGUUCCUCAUGAACCAUCCUUGCAUAUGGAUGAUUUUGUCCACAGCAAAAUCGGCAUGCAGACUUUCAUACAAGUGGGGUUAUUGAAAGACGGUCUAUGUUCAGUUCAGGAUGAGAGUGCAGGUCUGUUCUUUUUCCAGACCCUACCCCAGCCAUUUUUCUAAAAUAGGGUUUGAAGGCUA